rnacentral:rRNA from 1 species
UACGGGAGGCAGCAGUAGGGAAUCUUCCGCAAUGGACGAAAGUCUGACGGAGCAACGCCGCGUGAGUGAUGAAGGCUUUCGGGUCGUAAAACUCUGUUGUUAGGGAAGAACAAGUGCUAGUUGAAUAAGCUGGCACCUUGACGGUACCUAACCAGAAAGCCACGGCUAACUACGUGCCAGCAGCCGCGGUAAUACGUAGGUGGCAAGCGUUAUCCGGAAUUAUUGGGCGUAAAGCGCGCGCAGGUGGUUUCUUAAGUCUGAUGUGAAAGCCCACGGCUCAACCGUGGAGGGUCAUUGGAAACUGGGAGACUUGAGUGCAGAAGAGGAAAGUGGAAUUCCAUGUGUAGCGGUGAAAUGCGUAGAGAUAUGGAGGAACACCAGUGGCGAAGGCGACUUUCUGGUCUGUAACUGACACUGAGGCGCGAAAGCGUGGGGAGCAAACAGGAUUAGAUACCCUGGUAGUCCACGCCGU